CGCUCUCUUCGGAGAGAGUGGCAGACGGGUGAGUAACGCGUGGGAAUCUACCCAGCCCUACGGAAUAACUCAGGGAAACUUGAGCUAAUACCGUAUACGCCCUUCGGGGGAAAGAUUUAUCGGGGUUGGAUGAGCCCGCGUUGGAUUAGCUAGUUGGUGGGGUAAUGGCCUACCAAGGCGACGAUCCAUAGCUGGUCUGAGAGGAUGAUCAGCCACACUGGGACUGAGACACGGCCCAGACUCCUACGGGAGGCAGCAGUGGGGAAUAUUGGACAAUGGGCGCAAGCCUGAUCCAGCCAUGCCGCGUGAGUGAUGAAGGCCCUAGGGUUGUAAAGCUCUUUCAACGGGGAAGAUAAUGACGGUACCCGUAGAAGAAGCCCCGGCUAACUUCGUGCCAGCAGCCGCGGUAAUACGAAGGGGGCUAGCGUUGUUCGGAAUUACUGGGCGUAAAGCGCACGUAGGCGGAUUGUUUAGUUAGGGGUGAAAUCCCAGGGCUUAACCCUGGAACUGCCUCUAAUACUGGCAGUCUAGAGUCCGAGAGAGGUGAGUGGAAUUCCGAGUGUAGAGGUGAAAUUCGUAGAUAUUCGGAGGAACACCAGUGG
rnacentral:rRNA from 1 species